GGAUGAUGAACGUGAUUGAGUGAAAAAACAAUGGUCAAAUUCAUCUUUAAAGAAAAGUGCACCAAGGAUCCAGGCUGUACGAGGAUAUGAGCCAGGGUGCCACUGAUGCUAAUGGUGAUGAUGAGGAUGAUGGCCCUGUUACAGUCAAGACCAACACCCCCCAACAUUCCAGCUACCUGUUCAUUAUUCGAUGCUCGGCAGAGCAGAAUCCAAAAAGAUCAGGACACCUGGAUCUUUGUGAUUUUGGAAAACCAGCAGGAGCAAUUGGGAUAGCAUACGCAGCUCCUGCGUCUCAUCCUGGCGAGAGGUUCAGCACAAGAUGCAGUUCCGAGUGAGUUGCCAGAGGAGAUAUCUUUCCCCCUCAAAACUGUGGUGGAUUUGGCAGCCUUCAAAGAGCGAAAGUCACAAGCGAAUGCUGCAACAUCCAUUGUAAAAUACUUGGCAGAAUAUGGUGGGAGUGACACAGUGGACACGUUUUCCCGGAUAAUGAAGACGAUGUUGACAACAAAUCUGGCCCGCCAAUACAACCUAAAGGAAACCAAACAAAAAAAGAAACUGGACAGACUCCACUUGAUAAACAUCUUUUUCAGAUGUCAAUAAUUUAACCCAGCAACACACUUUAGAACCGCAAGGAAAUGGAGGGGGCCAUAUAGAAGUGGCUUUCCGAGUCGCGGAGUCGUGAGGUUGGCCGCAAAGAUCGAGCAAGAGUCACCCCGAUGCUUCCUGAGUAGAAUGUUGACUUAUUUACUUACCAUAAAAUUUACGAUUCCACGAACCACGAACAUACGGAUUUACGACUCAGAAUUAAACCAGCAAAACUUGUCAGACUAUUUUUCAAAUUGAUAAAAUACAAUAUGUAUGCUUCUAUUGUUUUAUCAUAAACACAUUAAUGUCGUGUGACAUGUUAUGUAGUUUGUAUGCAAAAUGUAUCACAAUAAUGUAAUAAUGAGAUAUCUCCAACUUUUCCCCUAAAUUUUCAUAUCAUUAAGGGCUUCAAGAAGAGCAUUUCUUAUCUAUAUUUAUAGGCAAAUCCAUGUUGCUUUUACUUUUUUUGUAUAAACAUAAGACAAACUGUCCAUGACUAAUAAGAGACCCAUCAACAAGACAAAUAUGUUUAGUUCACAUUUGGAUGAUUGUUCUAAAGAAGACUCUUAAUAAGCGAAACCUGUUGACAUUGAAUAAUUAUCAUAAUAUCUCGGAAUGAUGUCAGUUUUUGUUUUACUUUAAUAUUUUCUUAUCCUGGGUACACCAUUUUAAACUUUGAUACACUCAAAAUAAACUUAUUUUAAGAUGAAGCAAGGAAUUUGGCUGAAUGAAAUAAGCUACUUACGGGUGUUACGCUUAAGAACUUUCGAGAAAUUGGGGCCAGAUGACUUUAAUUAUAUCAACCCCUUUAUUUCCCUGGCGAUAACAGUGAUCCCAGAUUUGUAUAUGGUAGAUACAUUUUUUAACCUAUGGAUUGAGCGUGUAUAUAUUAAUAAAUUCUUCUUGAUAUACAACAAUGAAUCAGGUCUAAAUGAUAUAAUUUUAUUAUGUAAAUAUUUGUUAUAACUUAUAUGCUGUUGCUCUACUUUUGUUUCAUAUGUAUUUUGUAAUGUAACUCAACAUACAUGGAGGAAAUAAGGAUAUAUAUAUAUAUAUGUUUUAACAUUCAGUCAUGUCAGUUCACUAGUCAGUAUUACAAGGUGCAUUAAUUGUGUUAGUCAAUAGCUCUGGUUUGUGUUUAAUUUUUUCUCCUUUUAAAUUCUUUUUUAUUUUGCAUGUAUGAUUUUUGUGAUUGAAUCCACUGUACCAAUGAACUUGAAACUGUUAUUUCAUUUCUGGUUUGAAACGCUGCUUUAUGUCUAAGCAAUAUUGUUAUACUUGAAUGUAUAGAUGCACUCCAUGCUCUGUUUAUUAGAAUUGUGCGUCUUUCGAUUAGUGUAUUUUUUUUAAACACAUUCGUUAAAGCAUUCGGAGCUCCGCGGCCAUUUUUAUCGAAAACAACCUUAGAUGUAUGCUGGUACAUCAGUUAAAUUUCUUAAUUAUAUCAUUAAUUAAAUGUAGGGUUUUAGAAUUGUUUUUAUUGAUAUAAGUUUAAAUUGAUUGCCAGUGAAGUGUAAUAUUGCAAACAUAAUUAAGAUUCCCAAGAGUUAAGUCAUAAAGUUUAACUGCUAAAAAAAUUACUUUGCAGCGGACUUAAACGUACCGCUUUUUGAGUAUGUAAACCGUCCAAAUACAUCAGAGGUUGUUUUUGA